GACGGAGGGUGCAAGCGUUAUUCGGAAUAAUUGGGCGUAAAGGGUGCGUAGACGGUCCGCUAAGUCUGUUGUUGAAUCUUUCGGCUUAACCGAAAAUCUGCAAUGGAAACUGGUAGGCUAGAGCGUGAGAGAGAGAAGUGGAAUUCUUGGAGUAGCGGUAAAAUGCGUAGAUCUCAAGAGGAACACAGAUGGCGAAGGCAGCUUCUUGGCUCACUACUGACGUUGAGGCACGAAAGCGUGGGGAGCGAACAGG
rnacentral:rRNA from 1 species